CAAUAGCGUAUAUUAAAAUUGUUGCGGUUAAAACGCUCGUAGUUGGAUAUCUGCCAAGGGGUUCCGGUCCUUCCCAGUGAAGAAAACACGGAACUCUUCUUGGCAUUUGUUCAGGGAAGGUGUUUGCACUUUAUUGUGUGUCACGUGAUCUGAAUUUUUACUUUGAGGAAAUGAGAGUGUUCCAAGCAGGCUUUUGCCGUGAAUAUGAUAGCAUGGAAUAAUAGCAUAGGACCCCUUUCCAAAGCUGUUGGUUUUUGGAACGAGGUAAUCAAAAUAAGGAUAGUUGGGGGUAUUCGUAUUUAACUGUCAGAGGUGAAAUUCUUGGAUUUUUUAAAGACGAACUAUUGCGAAGGCAUCUGCCCAGGAUGUUUUUGUUGAUCAAGAACGAAAGUUAGGGGAUCGAAGACGAUCAGAUACCA
rnacentral:rRNA from 1 species